rnacentral:rRNA from 1 species
GGGUUGUGAGGUUAAGCGACUAAGCGUACACGGUGGAUGCCCUGGCAGUCAGAGGCGAUGAAGGACGUGCUAAUCUGCGAUAAGCGUCGGUGAGGUGAUAUGAACCGUUAUAACCGGCGAUUUCCGAAUGGGGAAACCCAGUGUGUUUCGACACACUAUCAUUAACUGAAUCCAUAGGUUAAUGAGGCGAACCGGGGGAACUGAAACAUCUAAGUACCCCGAGGAAAAGAAAUCAACCGAGAUUCCCCCAGUAGCGGCGAGCGAACGGGGAGGAGCCCAGAGCCUGAAUCAGUGUGUGUGUUAGUGGAAGCGUCUGGAAAGGCGUGCGAUACAGGGUGACAGCCCCGUACACAAAAAUGCACAUAUUGUGAGCUCGAUGAGUAGGGCGGGACACGUGGUAUCCUGUCUGAAUAUGGGGGGACCAUCCUCCAAGGCUAAAUACUCCUGACUGACCGAUAGUGAACCAGUACCGUGAGGGAAAGGCGAAAAGAACCCCGGCGAGGGGAGUGAAAAAGAACCUGAAACCGUGUACGUACAAGCAGUGGGAGCCUCUUAAUGGGGUGACUGCGUACCUUUUGUAUAAUGGGUCAGCGACUUAUAUUCUGUAGCAAGGUUAACCGAAUAGGGGAGCCGAAGGGAAACCGAGUCUUAACUGGGCGUUAAGUUGCAGGGUAUAGACCCGAAACCCGGUGAUCUAGCCAUGGGCAGGUUGAAGGUUGGGUAACACUAACUGGAGGACCGAACCGACUAAUGUUGAAAAAUUAGCGGAUGACUUGUGGCUGGGGGUGAAAGGCCAAUCAAACCGGGAGAUAGCUGGUUCUCCCCGAAAGCUAUUUAGGUAGCGCCUCGUGAAUUCAUCUCCGGGGGUAGAGCACUGUUUCGGCAAGGGGGUCAUCCCGACUUACCAACCCGAUGCAAACUGCGAAUACCGGAGAAUGUUAUCACGGGAGACACACGGCGGGUGCUAACGUCCGUCGUGAAGAGGGAAACAACCCAGACCGCCAGCUAAGGUCCCAAAGUCAUGGUUAAGUGGGAAACGAUGUGGGAAGGCCCAGACAGCCAGGAUGUUGGCUUAGAAGCAGCCAUCAUUUAAAGAAAGCGUAAUAGCUCACUGGUCGAGUCGGCCUGCGCGGAAGAUGUAACGGGGCUAAACCAUGCACCGAAGCUGCGGCAGCGACACUAUGUGUUGUUGGGUAGGGGAGCGUUCUGUAAGCCUGUGAAGGUGGCCUGUGAGGGUUGCUGGAGGUAUCAGAAGUGCGAAUGCUGACAUAAGUAACGAUAAAGCGGGUGAAAAGCCCGCUCGCCGGAAGACCAAGGGUUCCUGUCCAACGUUAAUCGGGGCAGGGUGAGUCGACCCCUAAGGCGAGGCCGAAAGGCGUAGUCGAUGGGAAACAGGUUAAUAUUCCUGUACUUGGUGUUACUGCGAAGGGGGGACGGAGAAGGCUAUGUUGGCCGGGCGACGGUUGUCCCGGUUUAAGCGUGUAGGCUGGUUUUCCAGGCAAAUCCGGAAAACCAAGGCUGAGGCGUGAUGACGAGGCACUACGGUGCUGAAGUGACAAAUGCCCUGCUUCCAGGAAAAGCCUCUAAGCAUCAGGUAACAUCAAAUCGUACCC